AUGAAGAAUCGAAAAACUAUAGAUUUUAUCAGUGGCGUGACAGAGUUCAUGAAUUUGGCUGAAAGUACAAAGAGGAGAAUUGGUGAUGCAGAUUACAUCCUGUGUCCAUGUACUGAUUGUGCCAAUACAGAGUCACAUGAAGUUGCAGAUGUCCAUAUGCACUUAGUCUCUAGGGGAUUCAUGGAUGGAUAUACACGUUGGACCAGACACGGUGAAGAGGAGGUCAUGGAUGAAGAUACCAAGGGUAGAGAGAUGCCAAACCCCGAUCAGUGUCACAUGGAUGUUGAAUCUAACAUCGGGGCAGAGGCGUCAAGCUACCAAUGGAACACCGGAAAUCCGAAACGCCCACUGGAAAACCAAGACGUUGAUGCAGAUGACGACGAUUUUGAUAUGCCAGAUUUUGCUGCUAUGAUUGCAGAUUUCGAGUGCCCAGAUAAGCAUAUGAUUGGGUACAAGGAUCUGCCAACCAUUGAUGCGGACUCCAAGAAAGAAUUGUAUCCAGGUUGCAAAAAGAAAUAUUCCAGGUUGAGUGCCACCCUGGCGCUUCUCAGAUUUAAAGCAGCAAACGGUCUAUCAAACAAGGGCUUCACAGAGAUGUUAGGUCUUUUCAAAGAAAUUCUUCCUGAAGAUAAUGUGCUCCCCAGAAGCACGAAUGAAGCGAAGAAAAUUGUUUGCACAUUGGAACUUGAAGUAGAGAAGAUACACGCUUGUGUGAAUGAUUGUAUAUUGUACCGUGGUGAGUACGAAGAUUUUCAUGCAUGUCCCACAUGCAAGCAUGCAUGA
rnacentral:rRNA from 1 species